UGAGGAAUAUUGGACAAUGGGGGAAACCCUGAUCCAGCCAUGCCGCGUGAGUGAUGAAGGCCUUCGGGUUGUAAAGCUCUUUUAGAUGUGAAGAUAAUGACGGUAGCAUCAGAAAAAGCCCCGGCUAAAUUCGUGCCAGCAGCCGCGGUAAUACGAAUGGGGCAAGCGUUGUUCGGAAUCACUGGGCUUAAAGCGUAUGCAGGCGGACUAGCAAGUCAGAAGUGAAAUCCCUGGGCUUAACCCAGGAAUUGCUUUUGAAACUGCAAGUCUAGAAUCCCGGAGAGGUUAACAGAAUUCCGAGUGUAGAGGUGAAAUUCGCAGAUAUUCGGAGGAAUACCAGUGGCGCAAGCGGUUAACUGGACGGGCAUUGACGCUCAGAUACGAAAGCGUGGGUAGCAAACAGG
rnacentral:rRNA from 1 species